rnacentral:snRNA from 1 species
AUCGCUUCUCGGCCUUUUGGCUAAGAUCAAGUGUAGUAACAUUCUAGGCACAAAUGCAUGCAUUUCUUUGAUUUUAUGCCUUGAGGUGGAGCUGUCAUAGGUCAGUUUUAGUACAUUAUGCUUUCCAAAUUGGUUGUAUAAAUUACACCUCCACACGCAGAAUAUGAGAUUUCCUGAAACUACACAUUUUGUAGCCACU